AGUCUCUCUGUGCUUUGGCCAUCUCGAUCUCACUCAGGUACUGAGCAGACACCUUUUCCUGCUUGGCUUUGGCCUCCUGUCCACACAGAGAUCAGGAAGGAAGAGGACACGUCUGACUCC